GGAGAGUCGGAUACUUUGAGAGUAGUGUCUAAGGGGGUGGUAUGUCCCAUCCAAGGCUAAAUAACGUGAGGAGACCGAUAGAUUACAAGUAGUGUGAACGAAAGAUGAAAAGAACUCUAAAACAGAGGGUGAAAAGUUCCUGAACUUGCUUAGGGUUAAGGCUAUUUAUAGUACCCGUCUUGAAACACGGAUUAGGGAGUUUAUCUGUAGUGCGAGUCUUUGCACGUUAACUGUAAAGGCGUAGAGAAAGCAACUGGCGUUUGCAUGGCUACUGAGCAUUACUGAUAGGACCCGAAAGGUGGUGAACUUUGCCUGCACAGGUUGAAGUCAGGGGAAACUCUGAUGGAGGACCGUACGGGUUAUUGAUGUGCAAAUCAUUUUUCUGAUGUAGGUAAAGGUGCGAAAGACUCAUCGAACCACCUAAUAGCUGGUUUCCUCCGAAGUUUCCCUCAGGAUAGCUGUAAUGCAUUUAGUUAAGGGGAGUAGAGAUAUGGGUAGAGGUGCAGGGAGCCUUCGGGUUCUCAACUUAUUUCCAAACUUCGAACCUCCUUGUUAGGCAUUUACCUAACUGGAAAUGCUUAAAUGAAUUAGCGUUACAAGUGGGCUCUGACCGGUAAGCGGUCAUGGCGAAAUGGGAUGAACCAUACGUCUGAAUAAGGUGCCGAAAUGUACUAUCACUGAUACCAUAAAGGGAGUCCAUGUAUUUAGACAGCAGGUCGGUGCCCCUAAAAGCAGGUAUCCGCUAAAGAGUGUGUUAAAACUCACCUGCCGAAUACUAGGGCCCCGAAAAUGAAUGGCGCAUAUAGUACUACCGAUCUCAGACAUCAGUUCUAUUGAACUGAGAGUAGGGGGAUGUGGACAUUUUUGUGAAGGUGCAAUGUGAGUUGGACUGGAAGGAUGUCUAUUACAGAUCCUAAUUGAAGUAGCGAUUAUCCAGGCUUGUAUCCUGGGGGCUGAUGAGGAGUAGGGUUUCUGGACAACUUAAACAGAUCCAGAGUUAGUCGAUCCUAAUCUCAAUAAUGGGAGAAAGGGAGUACA
rnacentral:ncRNA from 2 species